GAUGAACGCUGGCGGCGUGCCUAAUACAUGCAAGUCGAGCGAACAGACGAGGAGCUUGCUCCUCUGACGUUAGCGGCGGACGUGUGAGUAACACGUGGAUAACCUACCUAUAAGACUGGGAUAACUUCGGGAAACCGGAGCUAAUACCGGAUAAUAUAUUGAACCGCAUGGUUCAAUAGUGAAAGACGGUUUUGCUGUCACUUAUAGAUGGAUCCGCGCCGAAUUAGCUAGUUUGUAAGGUAACGGCUUACCAAGGCAACGAUGCGUAGCCGACCUGAGAGGGUGAACGGCCACACUGGAAAUGAGAAACGGCCCAGACUCCUACGGGAGGCAGAAGUAGGGAAUCUUCCGCAAUGGGCGAAAGCCUGACGGAGCAACGCCGCGUGAUUGAUGAAGGUCUUCGGAUCGUAAAGCUCUGUUAUUAGGGAAGAACAAAUGUGUAAGUAAAUAUGCACGUCUUGACGGUACCUAAUCAGAAAGUCACGGAAAACUACGUG
rnacentral:rRNA from 1 species